rnacentral:rRNA from 1 species
UUGAACGCUGGCGGCAGGCCUAACACAUGCCAGUCGAACGGUAACAGGAAGCAGCUUGCUGCUUUGCUGACGAGUGGCGGACGGGUGAGUAAUGUCUGGGAAACUGCCUGAUGGAGGGGGAUAACUACUGGAAACGGUAGCUAAUACCGCAUAACGUCGCAAGACCAAAGAGGGGGACCUUCGGGCCUCUUGCCAUCGGAUGUGCCCAGAUGGGAUUAGCUAGUAGGUGGGGUAACGGCUCACCUAGGCGACGAUCCCUAGCUGGUCUGAGAGGAUGACCAGCCACACUGGAACUGAGACACGGUCCAGACUCCUACGGGAGGCAGCAGUGGGGAAUAUUGCACAAUGGGCGCAAGCCUGAUGCAGCCAUGCCGCGUGUAUGAAGAAGGCCUUCGGGUUGUAAAGUACUUUCAGCGGGGAGGAAGGGAGUAAAGUUAAUACCUUUGCUUAUUGACGUUACCCGCAGAAGAAGCACCGGCUAACUCCGUG